GGGGGGGGGGGGGGGGGGGGGUGGCGCGGGCGAGGCGGGGGGGGGGGCCCUGCUGUGGUGGGGUGCUCGAGUGGCGAACGGGUGGGUAACACGUGAGUAACCUGCCCUUGACUUUGGGAUAACUUCAGGCAACUGGGGCUAAUACCGGAUAGGAGCUCCUGCUGCAUGGUGGGGGUUGGAAAGUUUCGGCGGUUGGGGAUGGACUCGCGGCUUCUCAGCUUGUUGGUGGGGUAGUGGCUUACCAAGGCUUUGACGGGUAGCCGGCCUGAGAGGGUGACCGGCCACAUUGGGACUGAGAUACGGCCAAGACUCCUACGGGAGGCAGCAGUGGGGAAUAUUGCACAAUGGGCGGAAGCCUGAUGCAGCAACGCCGCGUGCGGGAUGACGGCCUUCGGGUUGUAAACCGCUUUCGCCUGUGACGAAGCGUGAGUGACGGUAAUGGGUAAAGAAGCACCGGCUAACUACGUG
rnacentral:rRNA from 1 species